AGGGUUUCGUAACAAUUUAUAUAUACAGUUCAGAUAAUAUCAAAGCGGUAAAAAGCAACAUUUAGCACAUUAAGCCCAAACAUAUGAAUAAACCAGAUAAUAAAUAAAGCCAAAUAUAACAAUUAUUCUAAGCUAAAAUUCUUGAAACCUGAACCAGAAAUUUUGGGUUCUUGUCCCCAGCAGAGUCGCCAGAGCUGUCACACCUCCUUUUUCUACCUACACCCCCGGAAGGGUAUAAAUUCAAGGGAGUUUUUCCAAUUAAAGGACAAUCAAAAUGGGAUCGUUUAUUAAAAAUCAGAGUCGCCACUUGGAAGACUUAUGGUGUCCCAAGUCACCGGUUGAAUCCCGAAUCGAGGAAAAUAUGACUCUGUAAUGCAGUCCGCGAACUAGAAAUCCAGGUAAGGAAUUCUGUUAACCCGGGAGAAAGUGUUAGGCAUUUCCGAGUUCCGUGGUUCUAGCACGGUCGCUUUGAUCAUACUUGACUUAUUAAAAUUGUUUAAUUACUGACUUUAGACCCUAUGUAUUUGUCUAUUAACCGCUUUUAAAUCAUGAAAAUUAUCUCGAAGUGGGUCACGCGUACGUGUACCCACGAUCUAUAACAUGAAAUUUCCUCCACCCUUUUAUUUGUUGGAGGGAUAGAGAGACAAAUUGAACUGCUAAUGUAAUACAAAGAAUUGCCAAAUGGUAAACAAAAUACGAAAGAUCAAAUUCAUCUCAUGUUAUAGCCAAUUAGUCUAUUCCAUUUGCAAACAAAGGCUUGUAAUUAACGUCAUUUUUGUUAUCCAGUAAACUAUUCGUUAGUAAAACAGAAAACUUUACCAUGACUAGUAGCAAAACACAUCUUAUACGUUGUAAAACUGUUGGAAAGUACAUAACCCAGAAUUAAUGAGAUUCUUCCUCAAAAUAUCACAAGCAACAAAAAUUCACAUAAAUCUUCACAUUGAACCAUAAUUAUAAGAAAUACAUGAAAUGAAACAAAGGGCGAAGAACAGGAACUUUCGAACCUCGACGAACUCAGAACGACAAAUGACGACCUCGAACGGAACAAGCAAUAAUGAACGAAGCUUCGAACAGGUUUAACAAACGAGCUCCUUGAGAGACUCAAAACUGCAUAACUUACGCAGUGAACUGAAAGAGAACGAAAAUGGCGAUGACUGUAGUGUCACAAAUGUUCGCCGGUUGCUGGAAUUUUCCGGCGGGUUAAAGGCUAGCAGCGGCGCAUCUGGAACUCGUUAAGCCGACGAGCUGGUGGAGCUUGUUUUUCCGGCGAGUUUCAGGCAGAGGUGGGGGUCGUUUGAUGAUUAACGUUGGGGUCGUUGGGGUGGAGCUUCUUUCAUGGCUGUUGUGGCUGAAACUCCAUUAAAGCUCUAUGUUAUUCUUUCAUUCCCUGUUUUGUUUGUCAAGUGAAAAGGAACUCACACACACAAGAUUGAACUCGAAAGAAGAUGAGGACGACAGGGAAGGGUCUGUUCGUUUUGGUCUUGAGAACGAGGAAGAAGCCCGGCGUCGAUGGGGAAGGUCGUUUGGUUCCCGGAGAAACAGAAUGGUGGGGAGGGAUUUGUUGAUGUUUGUGGUUGGUUCUUUGAGAGGAUGGGGCGUGAGGAAGGAGAUGGAAAUACAGGGGAUGGGGGUGCUUGAAGAAGACGACGCGGGGUGUGGGGGUCGUUUUUGUCUGCGCAGC
rnacentral:lncRNA from 1 species